rnacentral:rRNA from 1 species
AUUGAACGCUGGCGGCAGGCCUAACACAUGCAAGUCGAGCGAGCGGCGGACGGGUGAGUAAUGUCUGGGAAACUGCCUGAUGGAGGGGGAUAACUACUGGAAACGGUAGCUAAUACCGCAUAACAUCAGAUGUGCCCAGGUGGGAUUGGCUAGUAGGUGGGGGAACGGCGCACCUAGGCGACGAUCCCUAGCUGGUCUGAGAGGAUGACCAGCCACACGGGAACUUAGACACGGCCCAUACUCCUACGGGAGGCAGCAGUGGGGAAUAUUGCACAAUGGGCGCAAGCCUUAUGCACCCAUGCCGCGUGUGUGAAGAAGGCCUUCGUGUUGUAAAGCACUUUCAGCGGGGAGGCGUUACCCGCAGAAGAAGCACCGGCUAACUCCGUGCCAGCAGCCGCGGUAAUAC